UAAUACAGAGGGGGCAAGCGUUGUCCGGACUGACUGGGCGUAAAGCGCACGCAGGCGGUUGUGGGCGUCGGUGCUGAAAGUCCACUGCUUAACAGUGGGAUGCGUGCCGAUACGCCAUAACUGGAGCGAUGCAGAGGCCAGUGGAAUUGCCGGUGUAGUGGUGAAAUGCGUAGAGAUCGGCAGGAACACCCAAGGGGAAGCCAGCUGGCUGGGCAUUUGCUGACGCUCAUGUGCGACAGCGUGGGGAGCGAACUGGAUUAGAUACCCAGGUAGUCCACGCCGUAAACGAUGGAUGCUCGGUGUCUGGUGGGUAAUCAGUCCCGCUGGGCGCCUCAGCUAACGCGCAAGCAUCCCGCCUGGGAACUACGAGCGCAAGCUUA
rnacentral:rRNA from 1 species